rnacentral:rRNA from 1 species
AUACGUAGGUGGCAAGCGUUAUCCGGAUUUACUGGGCGUAAAGGGUGUGUAGGCGGUCUUGCAAGUCAGAAGUGAAAUUCCUGAGCUCAACUCGGGCGCUGCUUCUGAAACUGCAGGACUUGAGUGCUGGAGGGGAUAGCGGAAUUCCUAGUGGAGCGGUAAAAUGCGCAGAUAUUAGGAAGAACACCGGUGGCGAAGGCGGCUAUCUGGACAGUAACUGACGCUGAGGCGCGAAAGCGUGGGGAGCAAACAGGAUUAGAUACCCUAGUAGUCCACGCUGUAAACGAUGACAACUAAAUAUUGCCGCGAGGCAGUGUUGAAGCUAACGCAUUAAGUUGUCCGCCUGGGGAGUACGGUCGCAAGACUGAAACUCAAAGGAAUUGACGGGG